rnacentral:rRNA from 1 species
AAUGAACGCUGGCGGCGUGCCUAACACAUGCAAGUCGGAUGUGCCCGCAAGGGUGCAUGGCAGACGGGUGAGUAACGCGUGGGGAAUCUACCUUUUAGUGGGGAAUAACGCUCCGAAAGGAGUGGUAAUACCGCAUGUGACCAUCGGCUGGGAUGCUGAUGGUGAAACCCUGGGACCUUCGGGCCAGGGGCUAGAAGAGGAUCCUGCGUCUGAUUAGAUAGUUGGUGAGGUAAAGGACUCACCAAGUCUGUGAUCUGUAGCUGAUCUGAGAGGAUGAUCAGCCACACUGGGACUGAGACACGGCCCAGACUCCUACGGGAGGCAGCAGUGGGGAAUAUUGGACAAUGGGGGAAACCCGUGAUCCAGCGAUGCCGCGUGUAUGAUGAAGGUCUUCGGAUUGUAAAGUACUUUUAUUGGUGACGAUGAUGACGGUAACCAAUGAAUAAGCUCCGGCUAACUUCGUGCCAGCAGCC